rnacentral:sRNA from 1 species
AGACGGACGCACGGGCGAGCGCCGAGGGGACAGGCCGAGCGCGGGGCGCCAGAGGCAGGUGUGGGACAGGCACUGGCCUCAGACCCGGGCCACACUGAGGUCUGCCCUUCUCCCACUGGCCGCCACCCAGGACACCAUGAGCCAGUCCGGGACCAUGAGCUGCUGCCCGGGUGCCACCAACGGCAGCCUGGGCCGGUCCGACGGUGUGGCCAAGAUGAGCCCCAAGGACCUGUUUGGUCCACAGAGCAGCCUCCCUCCGCUUGACUUCACCUUCCCUUGUGGGUCCAGUCCCAACUGGACGGGAGGCUGUGGGUCCCGCCCGUCGGGGAAGUGACUGGUGUCUCCCGGUUCAGAGCAGAGGAAGAAGUAUUCCAACUCCAACGUCAUCAUGCACGAGACCUCGCAGUACCACGU